rnacentral:rRNA from 1 species
AACGAACGCUGGCGGCAGGACUAACACAUGCAAGUCGAGCGAGGACUUCGGUCCUAGCGGCGGACGGGUGAGUAACGCGUGGGAACGUGCCCUUUGCUACGGAAUAGCCCCGUGAAACUGGGAGUAAUACCGUAUGUGCCCUUCGGGGGAAAGAUUUAUCGGCAAAGGAUCGGCCCGUGUUGGAUUAGGUAGUUGGUGGGGUAAUGGCCUACCAAGCCGACGAUCCAUAGCUGGUUUGAGAGGCUGAUCAGCCACACCGGGACUGAGACACGGCCCAGACGGCUCCGGGAGGCAGCAGUGGGGCUUAUUAUACAAUACGGGAAACCCUGAUCAAGCCAUGCCGCGUGGGCGAUGAAGGCCUUAGGGUUGUAAAGCUCUUUCAGUGGGGACGAUAAUGACGGCACCCACACAAGAAGCCCCGGUUAACUCCGUGCCAGCCGCCGCCGUAAUAC